GACGAACGCUGGCGGCGUGCCUAAUACAUGCAAGUCGAGCGAGACUCUUCGGAGUCUAGCGGCGGACGGGUGAGUAACACGUGGGCAACCUGCCUGUAAGACUGGGAUAACACCGGGAAACCGGUGCUAAUACCGGAUAAUCCUUUUCCUCUCAUGAGGAAAAGCUGAAAGUCGGUUUCGGCUGACACUUACAGAUGGGCCCGCGGCGCAUUAGCUAGUUGGUGAGGUAACGGCUCACCAAGGCGACGAUGCGUAGCCGACCUGAGAGGGUGAUCGGCCACACUGGGACUGAGACACGGCCCAGACUCCUACGGGAGGCAGCAGUAGGGAAUCUUCCACAAUGGACGAAAGUCUGAUGGAGCAACGCCGCGUGAGCGAUGAAGGCCUUCGGGUCGUAAAGCUCUGUUGUUAGGGAAGAACAAGUAUCGGAGUAACUGCCGGUACCUUGACGGUACCUAACCAGAAAGCCACGGCUAACAACGUGCCAGCCGCCGCCGUAAUAC
rnacentral:rRNA from 1 species